UUCCAUCCUGGAUAUGUGGGAGGGACAUCAACAGCAGGAAGGAUACAAGCCCUGCAAUUCCCCUUUGGACAUGGGCAUCCCCAGACCCUCAACCAGCACAGCCAGAGGUUAUAUUUAUUUGGGGUGACUUCCCAUGAGCUGGCUCCCUACCUUGUCGUAGAAGGCAAAGAUGGCAUUGAACUCAUCUGAGGACAGCUUCAUUCCCUGGGAAGUGACAAUGGAAUGAGAGAGCUCUUCCUUCUUGCUGCCCGUGACCUUACCGGGACAUCUCGGAGAGGCCCAGCUUCCCAUCACCGUUCAUGUCGAACAUCCGCAGCUGUUGGGACACAAACAGUGCCCUGUGACCAUCCCCUCCUCCUCUCCUGCAUGCCACCCUGGGGUGCUGAGGCCCCUGGUGGGGACGCAGUGCCCCGGGUCACUCACAAUGGUCUGUGUGUACUCCUGCAGCUUGGGCUCGUCGUAGGGCCGGUUUGCCUUCUUCAGCAGGUCUGACAAGAAGCCCUGGGAGGAGAGGGUUUUGCUGGCUGUCCCCAUCCCCAGGUGUCCCAGCGGGGAUGUCCCACUGACAGGGACCCAGCCAAGCCCACCCUCUGCCCACAGCCCACCUUGAGCUCGUUGGCUUCGAUGUAGCCGCUGCGAUCCGUGUCGUACCUGCGCCAGGCCUGUGGAGGAACUGCCAUGAGCCUUUGCAGGGGCUCGUGUCCCCCACUCCCUCCUGACGUGUAUGUGUGCCCCCAUAAACUCCCUCUGAGAGUGUCCCCCACUAUCAUGAAGGAGAUGGGGCCAUCUCACAGCUCCCACUGGCAUCACAUACUCUCCCUUGGGGCUAGAUGCUUUUGUUCAGCCCCACACCAAGAGUUCAAGCACCUUUAUCCUCGUGUCAGUAUGCAAGACCAGGCGUUAAUAUUUAAUAAUAUUUAAUUGCAUCCCCCAAUUAAACAAUAGUGUCUGCUUACCACCCCCCCCACCCCCCACCCCACUCCCAAUAUCAUGAGGUGCUCCUCUUUCAGCCUUCCUCUCCACCCAGGAGUUCAGUUUCCAUAUACAAGCUCCUUCCUCUCCAGGAUGCUGCACAUCCCCUUCCAUCCCCAUUUAUGUUUUAUUCCCCAUCUGGAAUUUCUCUCCCACCUGUGUGGGUUCACUCCAUGCAAGGACAGAGCGAGGUUGUGGGAUGCCCUGGAACAGUGUUGGUUUCGGCACAUCCCUUGGGCACUUAGGAGCAACCAUGAGGGGAAGUUUACAAAAAGCCCCAAAUCCUUGCCUGGAGGCUGGGAUGAGGCACCCAACUGCCCUGAGAAGUAUCCAAGGGGUGCUGAGAACUGGGAAAACUCACCACAUUCCUGCUCUUCCCUAA